GAUGAACGCUGGCGGCGUGCCUAAUACAUGCCAGUCGAGCGAACGGACGAUAAGCUUGCUUCUCUGAUGUUUGCGGCGGACGGGUGAGUAACACGUGGAUAACCUACCUAUAAGACUGGGAUAACUUCGUGAAACCGGAGCUAAUACCGGAUAAUAUUUUGAACCGCAUGGUUCAAAAUUUAAAGACGGUCUUGCUGUCACUUAUUGCUGGAUCCGCGCUGCAUUAGCUAGUUGGUAAGGUAACGGCUUACCAAGGCAACGAUGCAUAGCCGACCUGAGAGGGUGAUCGGCCACACUGGAACUGAGACACGGUGCAGACUCCUACGGGAGGCAGCAGUAGGGAAUCUUCCGCAAUGGGCGAAAGCCUGACGGAGCAACGCCGCGUGAGUGAUGAAGGUCUUCGGAUCGUAAAACUCUGUUAUUAGGGAAGAACAUAUGUGUAAGUAACUGUGCACAUCUUGACGGUACCUAAUCAGAAAGCCACGGCUAACUACGUG
rnacentral:rRNA from 1 species